rnacentral:rRNA from 1 species
GAUCCUGGCUCAGAAUGAACGUUGGCGGCGUGGAUUAGGCAUGCAAGUCGCACGAGAAGCUCUUUUUGCUUGCAUUAGGAGCGGACAGUGGCGAAAGGGAGAGUAACGCGUGGAUACUUACCCCGGGGUCCGGGAUAGCCGAGGGAAACUUCAGGUAAUACCGGAUAACGUUUCCGAACCAAAGGUGUGAUUCCGCCUUGGGAUAGGUCCGCGUCCUACUAGCUUGUUGGUGGGGUAAUGGCCUACCAAGACUAUGAUGGGUAGCGGGUGUGAGAGCAUGGCCCGUCUCACUGGGACUGAGACACUGCCCAGACACCUACGGGUGGCUGCAGUCGAGAAUCUUUGUCAAUGGACGAAAGUCUGAACAAGCGACGCCGCGUGCGGGAUGAAGGCCCUCGGGUUGUAAACCGCUGUCAUAGGGGAGGAAAUUUUGACCGAUCCUAAGAGGAAGCACAGGCUAAAUUCGUGCCAGCAGCCGCGGUAAUACGAAUUGUGCGAACGUUAUUCGGAAUCACUGGGCUUAAAGGGUGCGUAGGCGGCUAUGUAGGUCUGAUGUGAAAUCCCACGGCUCAACCGUGGAACUGCGUUGGAAACCAUGUAGCUUGAGGGAGACAGAGGAAAGCGGAACUGAUGGUGGAGCGGUGAAAUGCGCUGAGAUCAUCAGGAACACCGGUGGCGAAAGCGGCUUUCUGGGUCUCUUCUGACGCUGAGGCACGAAAGCUAGGGGAGCGAACGGGAUUAGAUACCCCGGUAGUCCUAGCUGUAAACGAUCAGUACUAGUCUGUGGGGGCUUCCACACCCUCUCGGACGUAGCGAAAGUGUUAAGUACUGCGCCUGGGGAGUAUGGUCGCAAGGCAA